CUACCAAAAUUUUGGCAGAGUCUCCCCUGUAAUUUAAGCAAUCCCAACAAAAAAUUACUCAACCUGCAACAUACAUAAAAUAAAAAUAAUCCCAACCAGCAGCAUGCUUUCAAAAAUCUACAAGUUAUACUAGAGUGGCCUCCGACCUCACAAAUAAAAUCUACCAUGGGCAAUACAGAGCAUCUAGUAAAUUUAGAUUACAAGAAUAGUUGAGUAGAAGAAAUUACUCAGUUCUUAACUAGAAAGAUGCACAGUUUGAGCUUCGUACACCACUUGCACGCUUCCUGGAGCGACUACUGGCUGGGGUGGCGCAAAACAGAAAACAUGUGAGUGGACAAAGACAGAUUUGCAGUUAAAAACAAUAUAGUAACCCCACCAUGUAAAAAUAAUGCUCAAGUCAUGCAGGUUCACAAUUCAAUAAUUAAUUACUCAAAACAUGAAUCAUUAAAACUCUUCUAAAAACACCAGUUGUCUCCUUUAAAAAAAUAAUCCCAUUCUCUCAAUCUUACACUCCUGUCAACUACCAAACAAACUCUAACUCCUUACACACUCAACUAUACGUAUACAUAUAAAUAUACAUAUAUAUAUAAAUAUAACUAUCAAAAGUUAUACGAUAUACUCAUCACACCACCUAGGUACCGGGGAAACAAUCAAACUGGGAGAUCGUUUGACUAGUCCGCAGGAUUUCCAGGUGCUAUCCUGCGUCUAGAGAUGAGCGGUCCAACCGGGGGACGAAACUUCAAAGUUCCCACACCGGAACAUCCAACGCCAUAUGUAGCUCACAACUAUGUCCUACGCGCGCAGACUGGAUCAUCACACACUGGAACAUCCAACGCCAUAGUGAUGACCCUAAACUCUAUACAAAGUCUUUCCAUACGCCGGAACAUCCAACGCCGCAUAUGGAAAGUGUCUCACAAGCCGGAACAUCCAACGCCGCGAGUGAGACUAGUAAUUGGUGAAGGUACUUACAUAGUGUAAUCAUACAACUUCUCUCAAAAUCAAAUUCUUCCACAACACCCUCCAACAACCCAAGUAUCUCGUCUAAAGAGAAUAUAUAUAAAUAUACUUCCCCACAACCCAUAUAAAAUGCACUCUCAAAACCCACAAUGCCAAACUCACAAUAUAUUGCCAAGUGCUAUACAACCAUCAUAAUCAACUCAUGAAUAUAAUAUAUAUUCCAUCAGCCAUUAAAACAUUAUGCAAAAAUCUUUCAUCAAUUAAAACCACGCAUACGAUUGAAAACAAAGUCCACUCACAAGUAUUCCCACGCUGCCUGACCACGUGAGGGUUCUGCUUGCUGCGUACGUGUAGUCGAAACACCUAUUUCGAGAUACGAACCGUUAAUUAAUAUAAAAUUACAUCGAAGCGAAAAUCA
rnacentral:lncRNA from 1 species